rnacentral:lncRNA from 1 species
CUAGUCUCUCAUAGAAACUUCUGGCCUCUGGACACUGUGGGAGCAACUUUUCCUUUAUUAGACUGUCUCCUCUUUAACUGGAAUAUUGCAGCAUGACUGGGAAGCCUGUCCUUCAUUACUUCAAUUGAAGAAGAAGAAUGGAGUCCAUCCGGUGGCUCCUGGCAGCAGCUGGAGUAGAGUUUGAGGAAGAACUUUUUGAAACCCAUGAAGAGUUUGAGAAGUUAAUCCAAGGUGGAACCCUGAUGUACGAGCAAGUGCCCAUGGUGGAAAUCGAUGGAAUGACUUUGGUGCAGACCAGUGCCAUCUUAAGAUAUGUAGCUGCAAAAUAUGACUUGUAUGGAAGGAACCUGGAGGAACAAGCCUGGAUUGAUAUGUAUGUAGAGGGCUUAAGAGACCUGAGCGACAUGAUAAUGUACUUUCCACUCUCUCUGCCAGAAGAGAAGGAGAUGAACCUUGAAUACAUCCUCCACCGAGCUACAACAAGAUUCUUCCCCGUUUAUGAGAAGGCCCUGAGAGACCACGGGCAAGACUUUCUUGUGGGCAAUCGGCUGAGCUUGGCUGAUGUCCAGCUCCUUGAAGUCAUCUUAAUGGCUGAAGAAUGCAAAGCCAGUGUUCUCUCGGGUUUCCCUCUGCUACAGGACUUCAAGGUGAGAACCAGCCAAAUUCCUACAAUUAACAGCUUCCUCCAACCUGGAAGCCAGAGGAAGCCUCCUUUGGAGGAGCGAUCCAUUGGGACUGCAAAGGACAUAUUCAAAUUUGAAUGAGGACUGUUUCUUAAAAACAUGAGCAAUAUAGUAGCUGAGUAUUAACAGCUACAGAGGCUGGAGUUACUCAGUAAGUAUACUGAGUAACUUGACACUGCAUUCAUAAAAAGACACUCACUAAGUAUAUGGCCAGAGAAAUAUCCUGAAGUUAGUAAUAAAUGUUAGGAAUCUUAGUAUGUUAGCAAUGUUAGAAUGUUAGUAAUGGAAAUAUUAAAUGUGUAAGAGAAAAACUACUAGAAGCUUAUCAAUAAACUACAAGAACCAACUCUUGUUUGAAGUAAGACAGGCUACCAAGACAGAAUUCAGAAAAUCCAAGGAGCCCUCGGCCUUCUGUAUGAUCCUAGAAUAAACUUGUAUGUAGCAAGUGAAAGUCAA